rnacentral:rRNA from 1 species
AAUGAACGUUGGCGGCGUGGAUUAGGCAUGCAAGUCGAGCGAGAACCCGCAAGGGGGACAGCGGCAAACGGGGUAGUAACGGGUAGGUGACGUACCCUCGGGUCGGGGAUAGCCACGGGAAACUGUGGGUAAUACCCGAUAAUCUCUGCAGGCGUGAUAGUCUGGAGAGCAAAGGUGUGAUUCCACCUGGGGAGCGGCGUGCUUCGUAUUAGCUAGUUGGUGAGGUAACGGCUCACCAAGGGGACGAUGCGUAGGGGGUGUGAGAGCAUGACCCCCACCACUGGGACUGAGAUACUGCCCAGACACCUACGGGUGGCUGCAGUCGAGAAUCUUCGGCAAUGGGCGCAAGCCUGACCGAGCGACGCCGCGUGUGGGAUGAAGGCCCUUGGGUUGUAAACCACUGUCAGAGGGGAUGAAAUGCAGGAAAGCAAUCUUUCCUGUUUGACAUAGCCUCAGAGGAAGCACGGGCUAAGUUCGUGCCAGCCGCCGCGGUAAAAC